AGCGAACGCUGGCGGCAGGCCUAACACAUGCAAGUCGAACGAACCUUUCGGGGUUAGUGGCGGACGGGUGAGUAACACGUGGGAACGUGCCUUUAGGUUCGGCAUAACUCAGGGAAACUUGUGCUAAUACCGAAUGUGCUCUUCGGGGGAAAGAUUUAUCGCCUUUAGAGCGGCCUGCGUCUGCUUAGCUAGUUGGUUGAGGUAAUGGCUCACCAAGGCGACGAUCAGUAGCUGGUCUGAGAGGAUGAUCAGCCACAUUGGGACUGAGACACGGCCCAAACUCCUACGGGAGGCAGCAGUGGGGAAUCUUGCGCAAUGGGCGAAAGCCUGACGCAGCCAUGCCGCGUGAAUGAUGAAGGUCUUAGGAUUGUAAAAUUCUUUCACCGGGGACGAUAAUGACGGUACCCGGAGAAGAAGCCCCGGCUAACUUCGUG
rnacentral:rRNA from 1 species